rnacentral:rRNA from 1 species
UACGGAGGGUGCAAGCGUUAUCCGGAUUCACUGGGUUUAAAGGGUGCGUAGGCGGAUUUGUAAGUCCGUGGUGAAAUCUCCGAGCUUAACUCGGAAACUGCCAUGGAUACUAUAAGUCUUGAAUGUUGUGGAGGUUUGCGGAAUAUGUCAUGUAGCGGUGAAAUGCUUAGAUAUGACAUAGAACACCAAUUGCGAAGGCAGCUCGCUACACAAAUAUUGACUCUGAGGCACGAAAGCGUGGGGAUCAAACAGG